AGAAAGUAGAUAAGGGCGGAUGGUGGAUGCCUUGGCUCACUCAGGCGAUGAAGGACGUGAUAAGCUGCGAUAAGCGGGGGGUAGGUGCAAAUGACCUUUGAUCCUCCGAUUUCCGAAUGGGACAACCCGUCAUGCUGAAGGCAUGACAUCUGCUCAGUGCAGAGGCCAACGCGGGGAACUGAAACAUCUUAGUACCCGCAGGAAGAGAAAAUAAACAAUGAUUCCCCCAGUAGUGGCGAGCGAACAGGGAAGAGCCCAAACCUGCGUUGUGGCAACGCCUCGCAGGGGUUGUAGGACCACGUUGUGGUACGGUAACGGAGAGUGGAAUUGCCUGGAAAGGCAGACCAUAGCGGGUGAAAGUCCCUUACACGAAUCCUGCUCCGGCCUAGUGGUAUCCUGAGUAACGCGGAACACGAGGAAUUCUGCGCGAAUCCGCCGGGACCAUCCGGUAAGGCUAAAUACUCGAGUGAGACCGAUAGCGUACGAGUACUGUGAAGGAAAGGUGAAAAGCACCUCGACAAGAGGAGUGAAAUAGUUCCUGAAACCAUCCGCCUACAAGCGGUCGGAGCAUGCUUAGCAUGUGACGGCGUGCCUUUUGCAUAAUGAACCUACGAGUUACCAUCUCCGGCAAGGGUAAGGGCCAUGAGACCCGCACCCGCAGUGAAAGCGAGCCUGAAGAGGGCGUAUAGUCGGAGGGGGUAGACGCGAAACCAAGUGAUCUACACAUGUCCAGGAUGAAGUCCGGGUAACACCGGAUGGAGGUCCGCACCGAUAAGCGUUGAAAAGCUUCCGGAUGAGGUGUGUGUAGGAGUGAAAGGCCAAUCAAACUUGGAGAUAGCUCGUACUCCCCGAAAGGCAUUUAGGUGCCGCGUGCAGUGUUCAGCGUGAGAGGUAGAGCGACCGAUAGGUCGAGAGGGCUUCACCGCCUAUCGAGACCUGACGAACUCCGAAUGCUCACGUUCUGCAGCUGUGCAGUAAGGGGGCGGGUGCUAAGGUCCGUCCCCGAGAGGAGAAGAAUCCAGACCGCCGUCUAAGGUCCCGGAAUUCUGCCUGAGUUAGUCUAACGAAGUGUGGUCCCAACGACAGCCAGGAUGUUGGCUUGGAAGCAGCCAUUCAUUCAAAGAGUGCGUAACAGCUCACUGGUCGAGGGUCCGCGCAUGGAUAAUAAUCGGGUAUAAGGCAGAUACCGAAGGCGCGGGAUAGCAAUUGUAAAAGUAUCGGUAGGGGAGCAUUCCCUGUGCGUUGAAUGCGGAUGGUGAUGUCCGCUGGAGCGCAGGGAAAAGCAAAUGUAGGUAUAAGUAACGAUAAGGAGGGUGAGAUUCCCUCCCGCCAUAAGUCUAAGGUUUCCCGGGCAAUGCCCGUCAUCCCGGGGUCAGUCGGGUCCUAAGUCUCAGCCGAAGGGCGAGGGCGAUGGCAGAAACGGUUAAUAUUCCGUUACUGCCGUACGGAGCGACGUGGAGACGCAGUAGUGAAACGGCCGCGCACAGACGGAAUUGUGCGCUGAAGGGUGUAGAUUAUGAGGGUUGCAGGCAAAUCCACAAUCCGAGUCGAACCUGAUCAGUAGGGCCUCUUCUCCGGAAGGGGCCGAGCGCCGGUAAGCAUGCUGCCGAGAAAAUCCGCUAAGCUUAAUCCGUACGGCACCCGUACCGCAAACCGACACAGGUAGACGAGUAGAACAUACUAAGGCGUUGGGAGAUUCAUGGUUAAGGAACUAGGCAAACUGACCCCGUAACUUCGGGAUAAGGGGUCCUCACGUCGAGUGAGGCGCAGAGAAUAGGUCCAGGCAACUGUUUAACAAAAACACAGGGCUGUGCGAACUCGAAAGAUGAAGUAUACAGCCUGACACCUGCCCGGUGCCGGAAGGUUAAGAGGAGAUGUCAACCGUAAGGCGAAGCAUUGAAUUGAAGCCCCGGUAAACGGCGGCCGUAACUAUAACGGUCCUAAGGUAGCGAAAUUCCUUGUCGGGUAAGUUCCGACCUGCACGAAUGGUGUAAUGAUCCGGACGCUGUCUCAACCAUGAGCCCAGUGAAAUUGUAGUAUCGGUGAAGAUGCCGAUUACCCGCGAUGGGACGAAAAGACCCCGUGAACCUUUACUACAGCUUAGCAUUGACCUUGGUCAUCCGAUGUGUAGGAUAGGCCGGAGGCUUUGAAGCGCGGGCGCCAGCCUGUGUGGAGCCAUCCUUGAAAUACGGCCCUUUGGCUGUCUGAGGUCUAACGCGCUCAGCGCGGACACUGCUUGGUGGGUAGUUUGACUGGGGUGGUCGCCUCCAAAAGCGUAACGGAGGCUUCCAAAGGUGCCCUCGGGCCGAUUGGUAACCGGCCUUACAGAGUGCAAUGGCAUAAGGGCGCUUGACUGGGAGGCAGACAUGCCGAGCAGGCAGGAAACUGGGGCAUAGUGAUCCGGCGGACGUGUAUGGAAACUCCGUCGCUCAAAGGAUAAAAGGUACUCCGGGGAUAACAGGCUGAUCCCCCCCAAGAGCUCAUAUCGACGGGGUGGUUUGGCACCUCGAUGUCGGCUCGUCACAUCCUGGGGCUGGAGAAGGUCCCAAGGGUUGGGCUGUUCGCCCAUUAAAGUGGCACGCGAGCUGGGUUCAGAACGUCGUGAGACAGUUCGGUCUCUAUCUAUCGUGGGCGUUGGAGUUUUGAGCGGUGCCGUCACUAGUACGAGAGGACCGUGAUGGACAGACCUCCGGUUUGCCGGUUGUGCCGCCAGGUGCACCGCCGGGUAGCUGAGUCUGGAACGGAUAAGCGCUGAAAGCAUCUAAGUGCGAAGCCAGCCGCGAGAUUAGAACUCCUUACAGGGUCGUCCGAGACGAGGACGUCGAUAGGGCGCAGGUGUAAAGACGGUGACGUCAAAGCCGAGCGCUACUAAUUGCCCGAAACUUUCCA
rnacentral:rRNA from 1 species